AACCCUGUCUUGAAAAAUCAUAGCCAGUGAGGUUUAUCCACGGUGUGAUUAUUGCUAAUUGAAAACUUUCCCAAUACCCCACCAUGAUGAUUUGCAAUAUAGUCUGCACUGGCCCUGUUUGACAGUCUCUGUAGAGA